AUUUUGUUUAGUUUGGUGUUCAGUGAUGAUUACUCUUAGGGCAGAUUCUGAGUGGGGGAACACUGAUUCUCUCACCUGAUCUGAAUAACGAGUUAAGAGUCUGAGAACACCAGAAACACU
rnacentral:snoRNA from 1 species